rnacentral:rRNA from 1 species
AUUGAACGCUGGCGGCAUGCCUUACACAUGCAAGUCGAACGGUAACGCGGGGGCAACCCUGGCGACGAGUGGCGGACGGGUGAGUAAUACGUAGGAAUCUGCCCAUUAGUGGGGGAUAACCCGGCGAAAGCCGGGCUAAUACCGCAUACGCUCUACGGAGGAAAGCGGGGGAUCGCAAGACCUCGCGUUAAUGGAUGAGCCUACGAUCGGAUUAGCUAGUUGGUAGGGUAACGGCCUACCAAGGCGACGAUCCGUAGCUGGUCUGAGAGGACGAUCAGCCACACUGGGGCUAGGACACGGCCCAGACUCCUACGGGAGGCAGCAGUGGGGAAUAUUGGACAAUGGGGGCAACCCUGAUCCAGCAAUGCCGCGUGUGUGAAGAAGGCCUGCGGGUUGUAAAGCACUUUCAGAGGGGAAGAAAAAAUCGGAUCUAACACAUCCGAGCUUGACGUUACCCUUAGAAGAAGCACCGGCUAACUCCGUGCCAGCCGCCGCGGUAA